GGGUUGUGAGGUUAAGCGACUAAGCGUACACGGUGGAUGCCCUGGCAGUCAGAGGCGAUGAAGGACGUGCUAAUCUGCGAUAAGCGUCGGUAAGGUGAUAUGAACCGUUAUAACCGGCGAUUUCCGAAUGGGGAAACCCAGUGUGUUUCGACACACUAUCAUUAACUGAAUCCAUAGGUUAAUGAGGCGAACCGGGGGAACUGAAACAUCUAAGUACCCCGAGGAAAAGAAAUCAACCGAGAUUCCCCCAGUAGCGGCGAGCGAACGGGGAGCAGCCCAGAGCCUGAAUCAGUGUGUGUGUUAGUGGAAGCGUCUGGAAAGGCGCGCGAUACAGGGUGACAGCCCCGUACACAAAAAUGCACAUGCUGUGAGCUCGAUGAGUAGGGCGGGACACGUGGUAUCCUGUCUGAAUAUGGGGGGACCAUCCUCCAAGGCUAAAUACUCCUGACUGACCGAUAGUGAACCAGUACCGUGAGGGAAAGGCGAAAAGAACCCCGGCGAGGGGAGUGAAAAAGAACCUGAAACCGUGUACGUACAAGCAGUGGGAGCACGCUUAGGCGUGUGACUGCGUACCUUUUGUAUAAUGGGUCAGCGACUUAUAUUCUGUAGCAAGGUUAACCGAAUAGGGGAGCCGAAGGGAAACCGAGUCUUAACUGGGCGUUAAGUUGCAGGGUAUAGACCCGAAACCCGGUGAUCUAGCCAUGGGCAGGUUGAAGGUUGGGUAACACUAACUGGAGGACCGAACCGACUAAUGUUGAAAAAUUAGCGGAUGACUUGUGGCUGGGGGUGAAAGGCCAAUCAAACCGGGAGAUAGCUGGUUCUCCCCGAAAGCUAUUUAGGUAGCGCCUCGUGAAUUCAUCUCCGGGGGUAGAGCACUGUUUCGGCAAGGGGGUCAUCCCGACUUACCAACCCGAUGCAAACUGCGAAUACCGGAGAAUGUUAUCACGGGAGACACACGGCGGGUGCUAACGUCCGUCGUGAAGAGGGAAACAACCCAGACCGCCAGCUAAGGUCCCAAAGUCAUGGUUAAGUGGGAAACGAUGUGGGAAGGCCCAGACAGCCAGGAUGUUGGCUUAGAAGCAGCCAUCAUUUAAAGAAAGCGUAAUAGCUCACUGGUCGAGUCGGCCUGCGCGGAAGAUGUAACGGGGCUAAACCAUGCACCGAAGCUGCGGCAGCGACGCUGAUGCGUUGUUGGGUAGGGGAGCGUUCUGUAAGCCUGCGAAGGUGUGCUGUGAGGCAUGCUGGAGGUAUCAGAAGUGCGAAUGCUGACAUAAGUAACGAUAAAGCGGGUGAAAAGCCCGCUCGCCGGAAGACCAAGGGUUCCUGUCCAACGUUAAUCGGGGCAGGGUGAGUCGACCCCUAAGGCGAGGCCGAAAGGCGUAGUCGAUGGGAAACAGGUUAAUAUUCCUGUACUUGGUGUUACUGCGAAGGGGGGACGGAGAAGGCUAUGUUGGCCGGGCGACGGUUGUCCCGGUUUAAGCGUGUAGGCUGGUUUUCCAGGCAAAUCCGGAAAACUAAGGCUGAGGCGUGAUGACGAGGCACUACGGUGCUGAAGCAACAAAUGCCCUGCUUCCAGGAAAAGCCUCUAAGCAUCAGGUAACAUCAAAUCGUACCCCAAACCGACACAGGUGGUCAGGUAGAGAAUACCAAGGCGCUUGAGAGAACUCGGGUGAAGGAACUAGGCAAAAUGGUGCCGUAACUUCGGGAGAAGGCACGCUGAUAUGUAGGUGAAGUCCCUCGCGGAUGGAGCUGAAAUCAGUCGAAGAUACCAGCUGGCUGCAACUGUUUAUUAAAAACACAGCACUGUGCAAACACGAAAGUGGACGUAUACGGUGUGACGCCUGCCCGGUGCCGGAAGGUUAAUUGAUGGGGUUAGCGCAAGCGAAGCUCUUGAUCGAAGCCCCGGUAAACGGCGGCCGUAACUAUAACGGUCCUAAGGUAGCGAAAUUCCUUGUCGGGUAAGUUCCGACCUGCACGAAUGGCGUAAUGAUGGCCAGGCUGUCUCCACCCGAGACUCAGUGAAAUUGAACUCGCUGUGAAGAUGCAGUGUACCCGCGGCAAGACGGAAAGACCCCGUGAACCUUUACUAUAGCUUGACACUGAACAUUGAGCCUUGAUGUGUAGGAUAGGUGGGAGGCUUUGAAGUGUGGACGCCAGUCUGCAUGGAGCCGACCUUGAAAUACCACCCUUUAAUGUUUGAUGUUCUAACGUGGACCCGUAAUCCGGGUUGCGGACAGUGUCUGGUGGGUAGUUUGACUGGGGCGGUCUCCUCCUAAAGAGUAACGGAGGAGCACGAAGGUUGGCUAAUCCUGGUCGGACAUCAGGAGGUUAGUGCAAUGGCAUAAGCCAGCUUGACUGCGAGCGUGACGGCGCGAGCAGGUGCGAAAGCAGGUCAUAGUGAUCCGGUGGUUCUGAAUGGAAGGGCCAUCGCUCAACGGAUAAAAGGUACUCCGGGGAUAACAGGCUGAUACCGCCCAAGAGUUCAUAUCGACGGCGGUGUUUGGCACCUCGAUGUCGGCUCAUCACAUCCUGGGGCUGAAGUAGGUCCCAAGGGUAUGGCUGUUCGCCAUUUAAAGUGGUACGCGAGCUGGGUUUAGAACGUCGUGAGACAGUUCGGUCCCUAUCUGCCGUGGGCGCUGGAGAACUGAGGGGGGCUGCUCCUAGUACGAGAGGACCGGAGUGGACGCAUCACUGGUGUUCGGGUUGUCAUGCCAAUGGCACUGCCCGGUAGCUAAAUGCGGAAGAGAUAAGUGCUGAAAGCAUCUAAGCACGAAACUUGCCCCGAGAUGAGUUCUCCCUGACUCCUUGAGAGUCCUGAAGGAACGUUGAAGACGACGACGUUGAUAGGCCGGGUGUGUAAGCGCAGCGAUGCGUUGAGCUAACCGGUACUAAUGAACCGUGAGGCUUAACCUUACAACGCCGAAGCUGUU
rnacentral:rRNA from 1 species